UACCAGCACCCCGAGUGGUCGGGACGUUUAUUGGGCCUAAAGCAUCCGUAGCCGGUUCUACAAGUCUUCCGUUAAAUCCACCUGCUUAACAGAUGGGCUGCGGAAGAUACUAUAGAGCUAGGAGGCGGGAGAGGCAAGCGGUACUCGAUGGGUAGGGGUAAAAUCCGUUGAUCCAUUGAAGACCACGAGUGGCGAAGGCGGCUUGCCAGAACGCGCUCGACGGUGAGGGAUGAAAGCUGGGGGAGCAAACCGG
rnacentral:rRNA from 1 species